GAUGGGCACAUGAGGAAUCUUCCUGAAAUGGGUAAUUUGCGUCUGAAUUUCAGUGAUGCCAUAUAACCUUGGAGAUCUGAUGCCCCUU